GUAGAGAUUAGGUCCCAUCUCCCUGCCACAAAACAGGGAAGGUGAACCAGGGUGGAUUAAACAUGGAGAUUUCCACUACUGUGCUUAAGUCACAGUUCCUAUUGUUUCAGGUCAGAUAGAGAGCACCUGAGAGGUCACCCAAAGGAUGCCAGGAGAAAGGAAGACUGCCUUGCAUUUCAGAAAAUGGGUGUGUGACACCCCCUACACACACUUGAUUCUGUCAGAGUGGUGACCUAACUAGGAAGAUGUAGAAGUUGACAUUCAGAUACCUUUUUGAAAGAAAAGCUUGGUACUAUUUGAAGACACAAGAAGUGUGGAAAAUGAGUUUCCUCUUUCUUCUACCCAGAGGGGUCUAUUCUUUGUGUGCUUCCAGAUUUUAGUCAGUGCUGAAAAAGAAGGCCGAGUAGAUGUUUAUUGAAUGUUUUAAAUGGCAUCAUCUGAAUUUGGUUACAGAUGUUGAUGAAAGAAACCAUGCCCUAGCCUUGCUGCCUGUAUGGGUAAGCACAGGAGACAUUUACAAUAACACAUUUUAAUGUUGUUCCAGCCAUGGCGCUGUUCUAUCUGAUUACAACUGCUUUGACUACUUGCUAAGUUGCAGACAUUUUGCACACCUUAUUUCAGUGCUUUCCAACUGUCAUUCCUUUAUUCAGCAAACAAGGAGGACAGACAAACAUCAUAGAAAUGUAAGACCGCUUGUCCAAGGCCAUCGAGAAGCAAACUAUUUGUAUUCAACUUCAAAUACAUUUCUCCUGUGUUAUCUACAUUCCUUUAAGCUCUUCAUCACUGGCAGUUAUUAAGAGUUAAUAGUAUAAUAAUGUAUCAUUAUUUUUCACUUACAUAAUUCCCCUCAGAGAUACACAUAGUACCUCAAGAGCUUUCAAUCUACUUCAUUGCUCCAGAAAAGACAAAAUAAUAAACCUGGAACUCAAAAGGUUUGGGAUGGUUGAGGGGCAGGGAGGCAGAGACAGUGAUAUGGAGAUCAGGAGAAACAGGCAAAGAGAGGAACUGAUCUCACAACCACUCCCUGCUAGUAAAUAAAGCAAUAAAAUAAUGUGUGAAACCAAAAAAGCUGGAAAAGUUGAAGAGUUUAGUGUUUAGUUUGGUGAAGGCAUGGGAAAUUCGUAAUAUGGCUACAUCUACUGGGUUCUCACAAGCACAGGAAACCAAUUCAACCAAAUCUAUUUUGGUGCCUGUUUUGAUGGGGUACAAAUCACACUUGAAUAUUUUAUGAAAGAAAUUCUACAGUA